rnacentral:misc_RNA from 1 species
AGAGAGAGAGAGAGAGAGGCAAAUGCCUAAUCCUGGUAUAUCAAAAAAUCAAUGGAGGUUAUAAAAAUUAUAAUUUUGGAAAGGUAAUUGGGGUGUUUAAUUUGUUUCUUUAACUAAAACGCUUAAAAUAGAAAGCAAUUUUGCAGCAAUUAAAAACCCUAAAUUAGUUGCCAACAAGCCAAGCAUCCAGCUCUUCGUUAUUAAGGAAGAUAAAUGUUUCCUUGUAAGCUAGAUAUUGCUUCAUUCUCUAAUAAUAGAUAAGAGCUUGUAAAAUAAACUUGGAAUCAUUUCAAUUAAAAUAAAUUGAACCAGAUCAAAUCAGUUUGAAUUAAAUUGAACCAGAUCGAAAUUGAACUAAAUUCAAACUGAAACCGAAUCAAAGAUCUGAUUCUGAAUCCCUAACCCUUAAAAUUGAAAUCAUUUAUCUAAUUACGGUUAUUUCCUCUCGGAUUCGCCGAGUUUGCUUCUGCUUGCUUCCCCUGCCUUUGACAGCGUUGUCCCUACUUCUUUGGCUGGCUUGGGGUUAGCUCUCCCUCUCCUGAGUUCGGUGUACAAAGUUUUUGUGUUGUGGAUGUUUUUGCAUGUUCGUUGAUAGUGGUGAGAACACAUUGAAGCUUGUGUUAGAUGAGCGUCUUCUGGCAUGGUUGCUUGGUCAGAGGGUGUAGUGAGCAGAUGAGUCCGCUGGAUAUACAUGUCAUUGGCUGACCCAAGGCUAUCAAAGAUUGCAACGCCUUGCUCCUGUACCUAUUCCACCCUCUGCUUUGGCCGCCUCUGUUGCUGCCUUUGCUUUGAUCUUGAGAUUUGUUUUCGGCUGGGUAUGGGCUUGUG